rnacentral:lncRNA from 1 species
AGCCUUUUUCUUGUAAUUCUCUACAUACACUCAUCUCCCCUCUCUCCGGUGGUGAGGGCUUGUAAUAUCCACCCUGAUGUAGCCUCAGAGAGUUGUACACCAUGAUUGUUGAGUUAAUAUAAAGUCAGUGGGGGGUUGCCCCCACUGUCCUAAGCUUAAAAAACACUUCCUUGUUGUUUGUAUACACCGUCGAGUUGAAUUGCCUAACUUCUGGAUGUCUACAUGACCAUUCUUUGUUCCUGUCAAUGAAAAUCAGUGUUAGUAGCAAUGUUCAGGUUGUUACCAAUGUUCAGUUUUACCAAUGUGUUCUGAAAAUAAAAAUCCAUUUAGUGAGCACAGUUGCUAGAAGUACAGUGUUACGCAUGCCAAUGUUCAGUUUUACCAAUGUUCAAUUUUGAGAGGGAGUACUCCAUUUAGUGAGCAUAUUUGCUGGCUUGCAAUAAGAGGAUCAGCAGUAGUUCAGAUUCUCGGUAUCUUCUCUGUAGGAGUAGUUUCAGUUAAUUAACUGAAACUUUCUACUCCUCUUCUGCAGGAGCAUCUUCUUGCUCUCUUCUCUCUUCUUAUCUCUUCUUUCUCUCUUCUUAUCUCUCCUCUCUUCUCUUAUCUUAUCCUCUCCUCUUAGAUAAUUUUAAUUAACUGGCAUUUAAACCUUUUCUUUUAGUUAAAUCUAGAUUUAACAUUUUAGUUAAUUAAACUUAAAAUAAACCUUUUGUGUUACUAAAUUAAACCUUCUGUGUUAAAAUUAAAUUAAACUUCUUCCUCUCCUCUCCUAUUCCACUCCACUCCUCUCCUCUUCUAUUCCACUCAUUUCCUCUCAUAUUCCUCUCCUAGUCCUUUCCUUUAACAACAUCAACAACAAUGUGAAGUCCAAGAUUGAAGACAAGGAGGGCAUCCCAGCCUACAUACUCUUCUCUAAUUCACUCCUCUCCCCUCCUACUACUCUCCUAUCAGAGAAUAAUCAUACAAAUGGAGUAAUAGAAAUAUACACAUAUAAGUGGAGUAUGGAGUGAAAAAUAGAUGGAGUAAAAGUGCAAAAUUAAAUGGAGUAAAAAUUUAAAUGGAGUUACACAUACAAGUGGAGUUAGACAUACAACAUACUCCACACAAACAACAUACUCCAACAUACUCAAAUAUGGAUUAUUACAGACAUGAUAAGCAUCACAGCCUCAUCGCAAGCAUCACAAGCAUCAUCACUAGUAUCACAAGCAUCAUUACGAGCAUCGGAGCCUCAUCACAAGCAUCACUAGCAUCACAAGCAUCAUCACAAGCAUCAGAGCCUCAUCACAAGUAGCACAUCCUCAUCACAAGCAUCACAAGCAUCAUCACGAGCAUCAGAGCCUCAUCACAAGCAGCACAUCNNNNNNNNNNNNNNNNNNNNNNNNNNNNNNNNNNNNNNNNNNNNNNNNNNNNNNNNNNNNNNNNNNNNNNNNNNNNNNNNNNNNNNNNNNNNNNNNNNNNNNNNNNNNNNNNNNNNNNNNNNNNNNNNNNNNNNNNNNNNNNNNNNNNNNNNNNNNNNNNNNNNNNNNNNNNNNNNNNNNNNNNNNNNNNNNNNNNNNNNNNNNNNNNNNNNNNNNNNNNNNNNNNNNNNNNNNNNNNNNNNNNNNNNNNNNNNNNNNNNNNNNNNNNNNNNNNNNNNNNNNNNNNNNNNNNNNNNACAAGCAUCAUCACGAGCAUCAGAGCCUCAUCACAAGCAUCAUAAGCAUCAUCACUAGCAUCACAUGCAUCAUCACGAGCAUAAGAGCCUCAUCACAAGCAGCACAUCCUCAUCACAAGCAUCAUCACGAGCAUCAGAGCCUCAUCACAAGCAGCACAUCUCAUCACAAGCAUCACAAGCGUCAUCACAAGCACCAGAACCUCAUCACAAGCAUCAUCACUAGCAUCAAAAGCAUCAUCACGAGCAUCAGAGCCUCAUCACAAGCAUCACUAGCAUCACAAGCACAAUCACUAGCAUCAGAGCCUCAUAUUCCAUUAUUGAACCCUCUCCAUUAGCCCUAAGUUGUGUAGGGCAUUUGCGUAAACCUCUUGAGGGCAGGAUAGUCUUGGAGGUAGCUGCCAAAGACCCUCAAGCCUUUCCUUGUUUACAUGGGCAUGGUUCAGGAUCUCGACCAUGCACGUUUGUAGAGUUAGGAAAAUUCUGUUGAGCUUGUAAACCUCAUAGCCUUCAAAUUCCUCCAAAACACCCUUAAUAAGGUCUUGUAGUGUUUUAGGACUCGGACAAUCUGUCAGGGAUUGCAGCGAGUUGAAAAACUCAAGGUCAAGCACAUUCAAAUCAGGACUGUUGGCAGGCUGUUGUAUUAUUCGGAUGUCAAGUCCAGUUUUUGCGACAGUUUCUAGAAAUUCCGGGGUCAUCUGGUAAGAUAUGGGGCUUAGCAUUAUCCUGCUAAAUGUAGAUGGUCUGUCCAGCAUCACCUUCGGGCCAAACAGCUUGUAUUGCUGGCAAGACCUUCUCUAUCAGGAACUCCCUCAUAACUUUUCUGUCGACCUUUAAAAUUCAGCAAAGUGCACUUAACUGACAACAACACUGACAACAAGUGGUUUUUGUUUGCUUUUUUUGUCUAUGUUGAUGAGAUGUUGAGAUUUUCUGUCUAUGUUUUUUUGGCUUAAAAAUUGAGUAAAGUGCACUUAACUGAAUUAACCACUGCUCUACACUACUGCUUGUUGCAUCACAUCUCACACACAGAAUGCCAGAAGAUACAAAGUUAAAAAAGGUACUCCCGGAUAAUAAUCCAAUUAGUUUCUUAUACUGUUGAUCUUGCUUUUCAAUCUUCUGCUGAUUUGUCAAUCUUGCUUUUGUUUUCAUAGGUGGACAGAUGGACAGUGGUUAAUUCAGGUACAUCCAGUGUUGCUUCCUUCCUGGCAAGUUUUGGUUGCAGUAGUCUCGUUAACAUAAUGAAGUAGUCUUGUUAAUUAAACUAACUGAAACAUUUUCUACUCCUCUGUUUACUUAUUUUGGUUGGGAAUAGUGAUGCUGCUAUGAUCCCACCAGGUAAAAUAGUCAGCAAUUUGUUUUGAGUAACUUUGGGUGUGUGGUGUACAAGGAAUGGGCAUGACCAAGUGAUCAAAUGGAAGAUCAAGAAGUAAAUAUCACAGGUAAUUUUCAGUAAGUCCCUAAAAUGGAACAGACAUAAAUAGGCUACUUCUCUGUUCAUGUCCAAUUGAACUUUUCUGUAUGUUUUCUCAUCAAACUACUGUAGAGUAUUGUCCAACUGAACAGACAUAAAUAGGCUACUUCUCUUGGUGUCUCAUCAAACUACUGUUGUUCAUCAUGGAGUAUUGUUCAUACUACUGUUGUUCAUCAAACUAUUUUGUGUUUCCUCAUCAAACUAUUGUUCAUACUACUCCUGUUCAAUCAAGAUGUUUCCAAAAUUACAGGAAAUUCACAUUUGUACUCCUUAAAAUCUGUGAAGAUUGAUUGAUUGAAGAGUACUUUGAAAUCUGUGAUAUGUUGAAGAUUCAUUACACAGUAGUAAUUACACACAGUACUCUGAAAUCUCAUUAAGCCUUUCUUUGAUUGAAAUCCCGAAAUCUUAUUUAGCCUUUAUUUGAUUGAUUGAUUGUGCAGGAAAUUCAAAUGUGUUAGCUCCUGAUUAUACUCUGCAAAUGAUAGUAGCUCCUGAUUAUACUCUGCAGGAAGACACUUGCAAAUGAUUAUACUCUGCUCCUUCAUCUUGAGACGUGCAUUGAGAUCGAAAUUUUCCUAACAUUGAGACAAAAUUACUGUAGACGUACUCCGAUCGAUUGCUCAACAUGCUGUGUGAUCAGUAAUUUUCCUAACAUGUCUUAGAUCGAAUGCUCAACAUGCUGCGUGACACAAUACAUGUCACACAGAGACAUGUUAAUUCAGAAUACUCCAAGCAAUUCUGUGUGCAUUCAGAAUCAUUCAUCCACAGUAUCAUUCUGUGUGCAUUCAGAAUGAUUAUACUCUGUAUUCUGUAUAAUCAUUUUGUCUCUGUGUUCAUCCAGCAGAAAUCCAAGCAAUUCUGAUCAAAUUACUGUGCGUAUGCAAGAGCAGAAAGGAGCAUCGAGCAGCGGCGGCUGACCUUGAGCUCUUGAUUGGAGUGGAGGGAGGCGGCCGGCGAGGGAUCUGCGGAGAAGAAGAAGCGUAGUUUUCCCGCAAGAAAAGAAAGGAAAAAAAAUAGUUUUCCCACCGCUGACAGUACGUGCCCAGCCAGCAAUGCGUAGCCCAGGUAGACUAGCUACCUCCCGUCAUCUCCCGGCGAUACGGCGCCUGGGCCAUUUCGACUGGGCGCCAGAAUCCGGCUCCGACUUGUUAAUGGCUUCGUUGCACCGCCGCCGAAGAGGAGCCGGAGUCGGAGUAGGCACGUCCUUUAUAACAACCACACCCAACGCUUUCCCUACGAACACACAUCGCGUCUGGACGACUCUCCUGAUCGCGAAGCCUAGCUGCGCCUGCGAUCUGGUGCAGAGAAGAGAUGGCGAAGCGCAAGUCGAUGAGCUCCAAGAUGGCGUCCCGGAAGAAGCCGGCGCCGAAGCUGGACACCACCUUCUGCUGCCCCUUCUGCAACCACCCCGACAGCGUGGCCUGCACCAUCGACCUCAAGCUCUUGGUCGCCACCGCCGUCUGCUACGUCUGCGAGGAGGCCUACCACACCACGGCGCACUACCUCACCGAGCCCGUCGACAUCUACCACGACUGGAUCGACGCCUGCGAGCAGGCCAACCAAGGCAUCGAACUCCAAGCCCGGGACUACCACAAACGGCAGCGGCGAGUAGGCAGCGACGACGACGACGAGAGCGAUGCCUGAUCGAUCGAUCAAUCGUGUCCGGUCGUGUCCUUUUCUUGACUAGUUUGAUGUUUGAUCGUGUCUCUCGAGUUUCCGCAUCUAGUCCUCCUCUACCUCUGUUGCAGUGCUGCGUACUGUGUAGCUCAUGAGUUCUGAACAUCAGCCAAUAUUGUCCAAGGCCUUGUACUGAAUCUGUGACUGGUUUCGUUGUUGCAGUGGUACCUUCUUUUCCUUUUCAAAAAAAAAGAAAAAAAAAAGAGUACCUUGUUGUCUCUAGAAAAAAUAAAGUUGGCACCGUUCAAGAACAAAGACGCUCUGCAAGUUCAGAAACACAAGGGCGAAGCAGACAGGUUCCUCCUGUCAGGAGAAUGAAUCAAUUUCAGUUAGCAGACUCACAAGAGUUGCUGGGGUUUUCCUAAACCUAUAUCUCAAUGCAAAUUGUAUUUCUGAAUCUCAUGUCCGAGGCGGCCACACUUCUGAAGAGGUGGACUGUCAGGAGUCCUGCUCUUAUCUUUCUCUACGCUGCAUUGACAUCUGAGUACCGCAACUCGGCGUGGGCUGAAUUAGACCAGACAGUGAAAGAGUAAGGAAUCAUAUCACAGGCAAUCUUUGGAGAAGAUGUAUAUAUAAAUUAAAUGUCAUCACUGUAUUGGACAAUUGACGAACAAGACAGCUUAUGUACAAAACCUGGAAAACAACCUGAAUUUGGUAUCAUCAAAACAACCUAAAUCAGCCAGAAAUCUGUGUCUUCUCUUUAAGGCUGAGAACACAUAUCGUGACUGAGUUGGGUUUCUGAGUUCCAAAGUUUCUCCUAGCAGCAAAUAGUAACAAAUGGGAAAAUUUAAUUAUCUGCACCAGUCGUAUGAAACCAAAAAUUCCUGUAUCAAGGUUUAGUGUGAAUAUGUGACUUCAGUAAUGAUUUUCUCCCCCAACAACCAGUUUAGCUUCAGAUCACCUUCUAGCAUCUGUACAACAGGCAUAAUGCAAAUACCAACUACUUCUAUUCAACUCCUUCUACUUAUAUCUGAUACAGACAACAGUCCAGACAACUCCCAACUCCUAACUGAAGAUUAGCAGCAGUUGCAGAAUACAACAGUUUCCGUAAACUGCUAACUGAAGAUUAGCAGCAGAUACAGAAUACAAAAGUUUCAGUAAACUCCUAACUGAAGAUUAGCAUUGUCUUCCACCACAAGCUGAUCAGUGCUCCAUUAAAAUAAAUCCCAAAAGAUCAUGUCAAUGCAGCAAAUAAUACAACAGCGCUGGCAUCUAAGGGAAACAAAUGCACUUGGCGGUACAUAUCUUGCAAAAUUCAUUUUCUGCAGCAAAUAAUACAACAGCAAAUAAUCCCAAAAGACCACUACCAGUACAUAUCUUGCAAAAUUCAUUUUCUGCUGAAUGACUGAAACUUGAAACGGCAGCGCUGGCAUCUAGGGGAAACAAAUGCACUGGGCGGUUCAAAUGCUGAAGUAGCAGCAAGAAUAAGAACACAACCAUUACAAACCAAUGCCAUUGCAUAACUGUUCACAGAGGUUCUCAAGUUGACAUCUUAGAGAAAUGCACUUGGCAAUGCUGAAGUAGCAGCCACAAUAAGAACACAAUCAUUUCUUCACACAGGUUCUGAAAUUUAGAACCACAUGGGACAGGUUCCUCCUAUCUGGCGAAUGAAUCAAGUUUAUCUAGGCUAGCAGACAAGAGGCGCUUCCUAGACCUAUAUCUCAAUGAAAAGUGCAGUUCUGAAUUCUCAUGUCAUAGUGUCCUAGGAGGCGACACUUCUGAAGAGGUGGAUGGUCGACGGUCAGGAGUCCAGCUCUUAUAUUUCUCUACUCUGCAUUGACAUUCGGGUACCGCAGGUCUGCAUGGGCUGAAUUAGAACAUGAAAUGAGGAAGUUAGGCAUCAUGUCAGUGCAACAGUUUGAGAAGAUCAAUAGCUUAAAUAUCACUGUUUUCCAGAAUUAAUGAAGACAGCUCAUGCACAAAAGCCUGAGAAACAAUAUAAUGUGCAAAAACCUGAAAGACAACUUUCAUGAAAUACUGCAGGAUUAACCUGAAUUUGGUUCACAUGUUGUUCACAUAAUUUUUAUAGUAUGCUAAAUCCAACAGAAUUUACAGUACAAGUAACUUGACUGAGUUGGAUAUCAAAGUUCCAAAUUUUCUACAGGUGACAAAUAGUGCCUAAUGGGAAAACUGACUUGUCUGUAUCAGGGACAGUACGAUGAAACCAAUAAUUUCUGUGUUAGGGUUUAAUGUGAAUAUGUUAUGAUUUUAUCCACAAACAAACUGGAUUCAGAUACCUUCUAGCAUCUUUGCAGCAGGCAUAAUGCAAACACCAACUGUUUCCGUUUAACUCCGUCUACUUAUGUCUAAUACUACAACAGUCCACACAACUCCCAAGUCGUAACUGAAGAUUAGCAGCAGUUGCAGAAAACAACAGUUACAGUAAACUGUUCUUCAGACAGUUUCAUAGUAAACUGUUCUUCAGUCAAUGCAGCAAACAGGAAGUUGGCAAUGGCGCGUCUCACCUGGCGUCCCCGCCAUGAAGACGAUGAUGUCGAGGGUCUGCCUGCUGCGGGGCAGGUCGAUGACCAGUGGGGUAGGCCGCCCGUGCAUACCCGCUCGGACGCACAUGACGAGGUUGGAGACGUCCAUGGCGACACCCAGCCGGCUGGCCAGCUUCUUCCUCAGGUGGUACGCGGACCUGCCCCUGAAUACGAGUGAGGCCCAGGGGAAGCUGGCGUUGGACUCGUCGGCGCCUGCCUGCUCGACCUGGAUCACCCGCCACGGCAACAUGAAGCUGAGGCUUCUGGGGAGGCGGAGCUGCAGUUGAGUCCCAAAGAACCAUCAAAUACGAAGCAGAGGCAGAGUAGUACUGCUCUGAAUCUUCCUCAAGAAUUGCAAAAGAAUUGCAAGAUGCCUAUAAUUGCAAAUCCCCAAUUGUCACGACAUCCAAGAGAACCCAAUUCUGGAAGAUUCAAGAAGCGGGUAUGGCGCAAAUUUGGCAGGAAUCUGCCAUCCCCGCGGUUGAAUCCGGACGCAAACUAACGACACCCAAGAACCCAAUUCGCUAAGCAGUUCGAGAAGUACGAAGCAGCGGGCAUGGCGGACUCACCCCAGUCGGAGCUGCAAGGCGAGGCGUGUCCUCCCUGGAGGGGAUGCGCUCCACGACCCAAUGCAUCAUCGUGCCGGCGCUGUCGGAGUCGUCGACGCUGAGGUACCUCCCGUUGGCGCGGAGGCGGCGGCCGCCGACGUGGCGGAGCAGGAUAUUGUCCCCCGAGCCGAUCCCGGCGGCCUGCCACCUGAUGGCCUCCUCCUCCCACGGCCCGUAGUCGCACUGCUCGACGCGGCUCUCAAUGUGGCCUCGCAGCGCCGGCGCGUCCGUGGCGCCGAGGUAGCGGCCGUAGGCGGCGCUGUGGAGGAGCAAGUACUGGGCACCGCCAUCUCCCUGGUAGAUGUGCACCGCCCAAGCCGCGUUCAUCGACGCGCGGCGCCGGCUCAGGGAGACGCCAAGCCCGUCGUCGUCGGCGUGCAGGUACGUGCCGCGCUCGCGGCUCCGCAGCCGCACGUGGUGGCCGUCCUCGAACUGCUCCAUCGGUCGCCAGUGACGCUGGAGAGCAGAGGCGCGCGGUGGAGAGAGAAACCGAGCGGGGAUGGAGGAGAGGCGGGGAUGGUGGUUUCUUGGCGCUCCGGCGACGGGGAGAAGAGGAGGAGAGAAGGCUGUUGGUUGGGACGGUUACGUUCGGGCGCCAAGGCGGGGUAUUUCAAGGUGCCUGGCGCGUCCCCCCAGCCCACACUCCUGUGCGCAGCCUCCUUCCGAAGAGCCCACAUGACUUGUUUCCUUUUGCCCUGAUUCCUCAACACAUCCGCGGGCGCAAAAUCCCUAUUCUAGGCUCAACGCCAACGUCAAACAUGAAGAGCAGGAGAAGCCACACCUAACACACUACAACCAAGACAACUGAAGAGGACCGGAGCCGCGCCGCCAAGAGAAACCACCGUGCCACGAGAACCCGAACACACCGAGUCUUCUCCGACCGAGCCACCUCCGGAGAGGGCCGACUCAUCGUCGAGACUGCCCCCUUGCUCCGGGUCAUGGAGCGCCGCUCCUGCCAAGAAACAGUAAGGACCGAGAAUGGAGACCACGAGAACAAUCUACAAGAUAGGCGGUCAUCGAAACCACCCCUCGCUACAGGCAAGGAUGCAGUACGCCAGCGAGAAGGCAAACUCGAUGCUAUAAGCCAUCUGCAACCGAGAGGAACCGAGGGUCCACAACGACACCCUCAAGAGGGUGAUGACACCGUGUGCCACCGUCGUCGAGUCCGAGAGAUGGACUAGGAUUUUUCACCCUGGACCCGUGGUACCUUGAGGGGACCAAUAGCAACCCCCUAGAGGAAAGCGACGUUCGUAGGUGCCAUCGUUGCCGGCGCCGGAGUGCAGAGCUUUCGCUCGGACCCACACAAGUGCCACCUGUGGACUCAAGGUUGCCGACCCAACAUAUGAGGGGGAGUCGCGACCUUUCGCGCUAGGCCUCCAGAUCUAGACAAGGGAAUCGCCAUUGCUAAAGCCACGAUGACACCAGGGCCACCCGCCACCCCUCCCCUUGCUACCCACAUAGCCAAGAGAAGGCGCCACCACCGCUGCCGUGCUUCCAGCUGCAGAGCCACCCGUGCAACCUCACUAUUGGUGUCAAAACCGGCGGAUCUCGGGUAGGGGGUCCCGAGCUGUGGAUCUGGGUGUUGGAAAUAUGCCCCAGAGGCAAUAAUAAAAUGGUUAUUAUUAUAUUUCCUUGUUCAUGAUAAUUGUCUGUUGUUCAUGCUUUAAUUGUGUUAUCCGGAAAUCGUAAUACAUGUGUGAAUACAUAGACCAUAACAUGUCCCUAGUGAGCCUCUAGUUGACUAGCUCGUUGAUCAAUAGAUGGUUACGGUUUCCUGACCAUCGACAUUGGAUGUCAUUGAUAACGGGAUCACAUCAUUAGGAUAAUGAUGUGAUGGACAAGACCCAAUCCUAAGCAUAGCACUAGAUCGUGUAGUUCGUUUGCUAAAGCUUUUCUAAUGUCAAGUAUCAUUUCCUUAGACCAUGAGAUCGUGCAACUCCCGGAUACCGUAGGAAUGCUUUGGGUGUACCAAACGUCACAACGUAACUGGGUGGCUAUAAAGGUGCACUACAGGUAUCUCCGAAAGUGUCUGUUGGGUUGGCUCGGAUCGAGACUAGGAUUUGUCACUCCGUAUGACGGAGAGGUAUCUCUGGGCCCACUCGGUAUUGCAUCAUCAUAAUGAGCUCAAUGUGACUAAGUAGUUAGUCACGGGAUCAUGCAUUACGGAACGAGUAAAGUGACUUGCCGGUAACGAGAUUGAACGAGGUAUUGGGAGACCGACGAUCGAAUCUCGGGCAAGUAACAUACCGAUUGAUAAAGGGAAUUGUAUACGGGAUUGCUUGAAUCCUCGACAUCGUGGUUCAUCCGAUGAGAUCAUCGUGGAACAUGUGGGAGCCAACAUGGGUAUCCAGAUCCCGCUAUUGGUUAUUGGCUAGAGAGGUGUCUCGGUCAUGUCUGCAUGAUUCCCGAACCCGUAGGGUCUACACACUUAAGGUUCGAUGACGCUAGGGUUAUAAAGAAGGUUUGUAUGUGAUUACCGAAUGUUGUUCGGAGUCCCGGAUGAGAUCCCGAACGUCACGAGGAGUUCCGGAAUGGUCCGGAGGUAAAGAUUUAUAUAUGGGAAGUCACCAUAUGGUCACCGGAAAUAUUCGGGGGUAUACCGGUAUUGUACCGGGACCACCGGAGGGGUUCCAGGGGUCCACCGGGAGGGUCCACCUGCCCGGGAGGGCCUUAUGGGCUGUAGGUGGAAGGGAACCAGCCCUUAGUGGGCUGGGCGCCAACCCCCCUAGGGCCCAUGCGCCUAGGGUUUGGGGGGAACCCUAAAGGGGGGGCGCCCCCCUUGCUUGGGGGGCAAGCUCCCUCCCCCCUUGGCCGCCGCCCCCCUCUAGAUCUCAUCUAGAGGGGCCGCCCCCUUCCCCCUUCUCCCUAUAAAUAGAGGGGUGAGGGGAGGGCUGCAGCACCACAUCCAAGGCGCAGCCCCUCCCCUCCCCAACACCUCUCCUCCUCCGCGUGUGCUUGGCGAAGCCCUGCCGGAGAACUGUCACUCCACCACCACCACGCCGUCGUGCUGCUGUUGGAGCCUUCUUCCUCAACCUCUCCCUCCUCCUUGCUGGAUCAAGGCGUGGGAGACGUCACCGCUCCGUACGUGUGUUGAACGCGGAGGUGCCGUCCGUUCGGCGCUUGGAUCAUCGGUGAUUUGGAUCACGACGAGUACGACUCCAUCAACCCCGUUCUCUUGAACGCUUCUGCUCGCGAUCUACAAGGGUAUGUAGAUGCACUCCUCCCCUCUCGUUGCUAGUAAACUCCAUAGAUUGAUCUUGGUGAUGCGUAGAAAAUUUUAAUUUCUGCUACGAUCCCCAACAGUGGUAUCAGAGCCAGGUCUAUGCGUAGUUUCUAUGCACGAGUAGAACACAAGUUGUUGUGGGCGUCGAUUUUGUCAAUUUACUUGCCGUUACUAGUCUUAUCUUGAUUCGGCGGCAUCGUGGGAUGAAGCGGCCCGGACCGACCUUACACGUACGCUUACGUGAGACAGGUUCCACCGACUGACAUGCACUAGUUGCAUAAGGUGGCUAGCGGGUGUCUGUCUCUCUCACUUUAGUGGGAUCGGAUUCGAUGAAAAGGGUCCUUAUGAAGGGUAAAUAGAAAUUGGCAUAUCACAUUGUGGUUUUGGCGUAGGUAAGAAUCGUUCUUGCUAGAAACCUAUAACAACCACUUAAAAGUUUGCAACAACAAUUAGAGGACGUAUAACUUGUUUUUGCAGCAAGUGUCAUGUGAUGUGAUAUGACCAGAAGGAUGUGAUGAAUGAUAUAUGUGAUGUAUGAGAUUGAUCAUGUUCUUGUAAUAGGAAUCACGACUUGCAUGUCGAUGAGUAUGACAACCGGCAGGAGCCAUAGGAGUUGUCUUAAUUUAUUUAUGACCUGCGUGUCAACUGGAACGUCAUGUAAUUACUUUAGUUUAUUGCUAACCGUUAGCCAUAGUAGUAGAAGUAAUAGUUGGCAAGACAACUUCAUGAAGACAUGAUGAUGGAGAUCAUGGUGUCAUGCCGGUGACGAUGAUGAACAUGGCGCCCCGAAGAUGGAGAUCAAAAGGAGCAAAAUGAUAUUGGCCAUAUCAUGUCACUAUUUGAUUGCAUGUGAUGCUUAUCAUGUUUUACAUCUUAUUUGCUUAGAACGAUGGUAGCAUAAAUAAGAUGAUCCCUCGCUAAAAUUUCAAGAAAGUGUUCCCCCUAACUGUCCACCGUUGCGAAGGUUCGUUGUUCCGAAGCACCACGUGAUGAUCGGGUGUGAUAGGUUCUAACGUUCGCAUACAACGGGUGUAAGCCAGAUUUACACACGCAAUACACUUAGGUUGACUUGACGAGCCUAGCAUGUACAUACAUGGCCUCGGAACACAAGAGACCGAAAGGUCGAACAUGAGUCGUAUAGCAGAUACGAUCAACAUGAAGAUGUUCACCGAUGAUGACUAGUCCGUCUCACGUGAUGAUCGGACACGGCCUAGUUGACUCAGAUCAUGUAUCACUUAGAUGACUAGAGGGAUGUCUGUCUGAGUGGGAGUUCGUUAAUAAUUUGAUUAGAUGAACUUCAUUAUCAUGAACUUAGUCUAAAAACCUUUACAAUAUGUCUUGUAGAUCAAAUGGCCCACGCUAAUGUUGCCCUCAACUUCAAUGCGUUCCUAGAGAAAACCAAGCUGAAAGACGAUGGUAGCAACUACACGGACUGGGUCUGUAACCUGAGGAUUAUCCUCAUAGCUUCCAAGAAAGCAUAUGUCCUUGAAGCACCGCUAGGUGAUGCACCUGUUUUCCCAGCAACUCAAGACGUUCUGAAUGUCUGGCAGUCACGUAGUGAUGAUUACUCCCUGGUUCAGUGCGGCAUGCUUUACAGCUUAGAACAGGGGCUCCAAAAGCGUUUUGAGCAGCACGGAGCAUAUGAGAUGUUCCAAGAGCUGAAAAUGGUUUUCCAAGCUCAUGCCCAGGUCGAGAGAUAUGAAGUCUCCGACAAGUUCUACAGUUGUAAGAUGGAGGAGAAUAGUUCCGUCAGCGAACACAUACUCAAAAUGUCUGGGUUGCACAACCGCUUGUCUCAGCUGGGAGUUAAUCUCCCGGAUGACGCGGUCGUUGACAGAAUCCUUCAGUCGCUCCCACCUAGCUACAAGAGCUUUCUGAUGAACUUCAAUAUGCAGGGGAUGGAAAAGACCAUUCCUGAGGUAUAUUCAAUGCUGAAAUCAGCGGAGGUGGAGAUCAAAAAGGAACGUCAAGUGUUGAUGGUGAAUAAAACCACUAAGUUCAAGAAAGGCAAGGGUAAGAAGAACUUCAAGAAAGACGGCAAGGGAGUUGCCGCGCCCGGUAAGCAAGCUGCCGGGAAGAAGACAAAGAAUGGACCCAAGCCUGAGACUGAGUGCUUUUAUUGCAAGGGAAACGGUCACUGGAAGCGGAACUGCCCCAAGUACUUAGCGGAUAAGAAGGCCGGCAAUACCAAAGGUAUAUGUGAUAUACAUGUUAUAGAUGUGUACCUAACCAGCGCUCGUAGUAGCUCCUGGGUAUUUGAUACCGGUGCGGUUGCUCAUAUUUGUAACUCAAAGCAGGAGCUGCGGAAUAAGCGGAGACUGGCGAAGGACGAGGUGACGAUGCGCGUCGGGAAUGGUUCCAAGGUCGAUGUGAUCGCCGUCGGCACGCUACCUCUACAUUUACCUACGGGACUAGUUUUAAACCUCAAUAAUUGUUAUUUAGUGCCAGCUUUGAGCAUGAACAUUGUAUCUGGAUCUCAUUUAAUGCGAGAUGGCUACUCAUUUAAAUCCGAGAAUAAUGGUUGUUCUAUUUAUAUGAGAGAUAUGUUUUAUGGUCAUGCCCCGCUGGUCAAUGGUUUAUUCUUAAUGAAUCUCGAACGUGAUGUUACACAUAUUCAUAGUGUGAAUGCCAAGAAAUGUAAGGUUGAUAAUGAUAGUCCCACAUACUUGUGGCACUGCCGCCUUGGUCACAUUGGUGUCAAACGCAUGAAGAAACUCCAUGCAGAUGGACUUUUGGAGUCUCUUGAUUAUGAAUCAUUUGACACGUGCGAACCAUGCCUCAUGGGCAAAAUGACCAAGACCCUCCAUUCUCCGGAACAGUGAAGUGAGCAACCAACUUAUUGGAAAUCAUACAUACUAAUGUGUGCGGUCCAAUGAGCGUUGAGGCUCGCGGUGGCUAUCGUUAUGUUCUCACCCUCACUGAUGACUUGAGUAGAUAUGGGUAUGUCUACUUAAUGAAACACAAGUCUGAGACCUUUGAAAAGUUCAAGGAAUUUCAGAGUGAGGUUGAGAAUCAACGUGACAAGAAAAUAAAGUUUGAGUCACGAAUUUGGCACACACUUAAGGAAAUGUGGAAUUGUUUCACAACUCACGCCGCCUGGAACACCUCAGCGUAAUGGUGUGUCCGAACGUCGUAAUCGCACUCUAUUGGAUAUGGUGCGAUCUAUGAUGUCUCUUACCGAUCUACCGCUAUCAUUCUGGGGUUAUGCUUUAGAGACUGCCGCAUUCACUUUAAAUAGGGCUCCGUCGAAAUCCGUUGAGACGACACCGUAUGAAUUAUGGUUUGGAAAGAAACCUAAGCUGUCGUUUCUUAAAGUUUGGGGAUGCGAUGCUUAUGUCAAGAAACUUCAACCUGAAAAGCUCGAACCCAAGUCGGAAAAAUGCGUCUUCAUAGGAUACCCUAAGGAAACCAUUGGGUAUACCUUCUACCUCAGAUCCGAAGGCAAGAUCUUCGUUGCCAAGAACGGGUCCUUUCUGGAGAAAGAGUUUCUCUUGAAAGAAGUAAGUGGGAGGAAAGUGGAACUUGAUGAGAUGACCCCUCUUGAACCAGAAAGUAGCGCAGCACAAGAAAAUGUUUCUGUGGUGCCUGCACCGACUAGAGAGGAAGUUAAUGAUGACGAUCAUGAUCAAGUUACCACUGAACUUCGUAGGUCCACAAGGACACGUUCCGCACUAGAGUGGUACGGCAACCCUGUCCUGGAAAUCAUGUUGUUGGAGAACGGUGAACCUUCGAACUACGAAGAAGCAAUGGCGGGUCCAGAUUCCAACAAAUGGCUUGAAGCCAUGCAAUCCGAGAUAGGAUCCAUGUAUGAAAACAAAGUAUGGACUUUGACAGACUUGCCCGAUGAUCGGCGAGCGAUAGAAAAUAAAUGGAUCUUUAAGAAGAAGACGGACACGGAUGGAAAUGUUACCAUCUAUAAAGCUCGACUUGUCGCUAAGGGUUAUCGACAAGUUCAAGGAGUUGACUACGAUGAGACCUUCUCACCCGUAGCAAAGCUGAAGUCUGUCCGAAUCAUGUUAGCAAUUGCCGCAUUCUACAAUUAUGAAAUAUGGCAAAUGGACGUCAAAACGGCAUUCCUUAACGGCUUCCUUAAGGAAGAAUUGUAUAUGAUGCAGCCGGAAGGUUUUGUCGAUCCUAAGAAUGCUGACAAAGUAUGCAAGCUCCAGCGCUCAAUCUAUGGGCUGGUGCAGGCAUCUCGGAGUUGGACCAUUCGCUUUGAUGAGAUGAUCAAAGCGUUUGGGUUUACGCAGACUUAUGGAGAAGCCUGUGUUUACAAGAAAGUGAGUGGGAGCUUUGUAGCAUUUCUCUUAUUAUAUGUGGAUGACAUACUAUUGAUGGGAAAUGAUAUAGAAUUCUUGGAAAGUAUAAAGGCCUACUUGAAUAAGUGUUUUUCAAUGAAGGACCUUGGAGAAGCUGCUUACAUAUUAGGCAUCAAGAUCUAUAGAGAUAGAUCGAGACGCCUCAUAGGUCUUUCACAAAGCACAUACCUUGACAAGAUAUUGAAGAAGUUCAAUAUGGAUCAGUCCAAGAAGGGGUUCUUGCCUGUAUUGCAAGGUGUGAGAUUGAGCACGGCUCAAUGCCCGACCACGGCAGAAGAUAGAGAAAAGAUGAGUGUCGUCCCCUAUGCCUCGGCCAUAGGGUCUAUUAUGUAUGCCAUGCUGUGUACCAGACCUGAUGUAAACCUUGCCGUAAGUUUGGUAGGAAGGUACCAAAGUAAUCCCGGCAUGGAACACUGGACAUCGGUCAAGAACAUCCUGAAGUACCUGAAAAGGACUAAGGAUAUGUUUCUCGUUUAUGGAGGUGACGAAGAGCUCGUCGUAAAGGGUUACGUCGAUGCUAGCUUCGACACAGAUCUGGAUGACUCUAAGUCACAAACCGGAUACGUGUAUAUUUUGAAUGGUGGGGCAGUCAGCUGGUGCAGUUGCAAGCAAAGCGUCGUGGCGGGAUCUACAUGUGAAGCGGAGUACAUGGCAGCCUCGGAGGCAGCACAUGAAGCAAUCUGGAUGAAGGAGUUCAUUGCCGACCUAGGAGUUAUUCCCAAUGCAUCGGGGCCGAUGACUCUCUUCUGUGACAACACUGGAGCUAUUGCCCUUGCCAAGGAGCCCAGGUUUCACAAGAAGACCAGGCACAUCAAGCGUCGCGUCAACUCCAUUCGUGAAAAUGUUCAAAAUGGAGACAGAUAUUUGUAAAGUGCAUACAGAUUUGAAUGUCGCAGAUCCGUUGACUAAACCUCUUCCAUGAGCGAAACAUGAUCAACACAUGAACUCUAUGGGUGUACGAUUCAGCACAAUGUAACUAGAUUAUUGACUCUAGUGCAAGUGGGAGACUGUUGGAAAUAUGCCCUAGAGGCAACAAUAAAAUGGUUAUUAUUAUAUUUCCUUGUUCAUGAUAAUUGUCUGUUGUUCAUGCUUUAAUUGUGUUAUCCGGAAAUCGUAAUACAUGUGUGAAUACAUAGACCAUAACAUGUCCCUAGUGAGCCUCUAGUUGACUAGCUCGUUGAUCAAUAGAUGGUUACGGUUUCCUGACCAUGGACAUUGGAUGUCAUUGAUAAUGGGAUCACAUCAUUAGGAGAUUGAUGUGAUGGACAAGACCCAAUCCUAAGCAUAGCACUAGAUCGUGUAGUUCGUUUGCUAAAGCUUUUCUAAUGUCAAGUAUCAUUUCCUUAGAACAUGAGAUCGUGCAACUCCCGGAUACCGUAGGAAUGCUUUGGGUGUACCAAACGUCACAACGUAACUGGGUGGCUAUAAAGGUGCACUACAGGUAUCUCCGAAAGUGUUUGUUGGGUUGGCUCGAAUCGAGACUGGGAUUUGUCACUCCGUAUGACGGAGAGGUAUCUCUGGGCCCACUCGGUAUUGCAUCAUCAUAAUGAGCUCAAUGUGACUAAGUAGUUAGUCAUGGGAUCAUGCAUUACUGAACGAGUAAAGUGACUUGCCGGUAACGAGAUUGAAAGAGGUAUUGGGAUACCGACGAUCGAAUCUCGGGCAAGUAACAUACCGAUUGAUAAAGGGAAUUGUAUACGGGAUUGCUUGAAUCCUCGACAUCGUGGUUCAUCCGAUGAGAUCAUCAUGGAACAUGUGGGAGCCAACAUGGGUAUCCAGAUCCCGCUGUUGGUUAUUGGCUAGAGAGGUGUCUCGAUCAUGUCUGCAUGAUUCCCGAACCCGUAGGGUCUACACACUUAAGGUUCGAUGACGCUAGGGUUAUAAGGAAGGUUUGUAUGUGAUUACCGAAUGUUGUUCGGAGUCCCGGAUGAGAUCCCGGACGUCACGAGGAGUUCCGGAAUGGUCCGGAGGUAAAGAUUUAUAUAUGGGAAGUCACCAUACGGUCACCGGAAGUGCUCGGGGGUAUGCCGGUAUUGUGCCGGGACCACCGAAGGGGUUCCGGGGGUCCACCGGGAGGGUCCACCUGCCCCGGAGGGACUUAUGGGCUGUAGGUGGAAGGGAACCAGCCCUAUGUGGGCUGGGCGCCAACCCCCCUAGGGCCCAUGCGCCUAGGGUUUGGGGGGGGACCCUAAAGGGGGGCGCCCCCCCUUGCUUGGGGGGCAAGCCACCUUCCCCUGGCCACCCCUCCCACCAGAUGGGAUCUGAAGGGGCCGGCCCCCCUCUCCCUUGCCCCUAUAUAUAGUGGAGGGGUGGGAGGGCAGCCACACCUUUCCCAAGGCGCAGCCCCUUCCCCCCCAACACCUCUCCUCCUCCGCGUGUGCUUAGCGAAGCCCUGCCGGAGAACUGUCACUCCACCACCACCACGCCGUCGUGCUGCUGUUGGAGCCUUCUUCCUCAACCUCUCCCUCCUCCUUGCUGGAUCAAGGCAUGGGAGACGUCACCGCUCCGUACGUGUGUCGAACGCGGAGGUGCCGUCCGUUCGGCGCUUGGAUCAUCGGUGAUUUGGAUCACGACGAGUACGACUCCAUCAACCCCGUUCUCUUGAACGCUUCCGCUCGCGAUCUACAAGGGUAUGUAGAUGCACUCCUCCCCUCUCGUUGCUAGUAAACUCCAUAGAUUGAUCUUGGUGAUGCGUAGAAAAUUUUAAUUUCUGCUACGAUCCCCAACACUGGGAUCGAUGAGGAACAGGAGAUAAGGGACACAAGGUUUUACCCAGGUUCAAGCCCUAUCGAAGAGGUAAAACUCUACUCAUGCUUGAUUAUAUUCGAUGGGUAUGGUUACAGAGUCGAUCUACCUCGAGAUCAGGCGAGCUAAACCCUAGAUGGGAGUGAUGGAAAUAUGCCCUAUAGAGGCAAUAAUAAAGUUGUUAUUAUUUUAUGUCUCCUUAUUCAUGAUAAAGGUUUAUUAUUCAUGCUAGAAUUGUAUUGACCGAAAACUUAAAUACAUGUGUGAAUAGAUAAACAAAUACCGUGUCCCUAGUAAGCCUCUACUAGACUAGCUCGUUGAUAAAAAAUGGUUAAGGUUUCCUAACCAUAGACAUGAGUUGUCAUUUGAUAACGGGAUCACAUCAUUAGGAGAAUGAUGUGAUGGACAAGACCUAUUCGUUAGCCUAGCAUUUGAUCGUACAGUUUUUGCUACUGCUUUCUUGUAUGUCAAAUACAUGUUGCUUAGAAACCAUGAGAUCAUGGAACUCCCGGAUACCGGAGAAAUACCUUGUCUGCUAUCAAACGUCACAACGUAAUUGAGUGAUCAUAAAGGUGCUCUACAUGUAUCUCCGAAGGUGUUUGUUGAGUUGACAUGAAUCGAGAUUGGGAUUUGUCACUGCGAGUAUCGGGGAGGUAUCUCUGAGCCCUCUCGGCAAUACACAUCAUAAGAAGGCUUGCAAGCAAAUGACUAAUGAGUUAGUUACGAGAUGAUGUAUUACGGAACGAGUAAAGAGACUUGCCGGUAACGAGAUUGAAAUAGGUAUAGAGAUACCGACGAUCGAAUCUCGGGCUAGUAACAUACCGACAAACAAAGGGAAUUACGUAUGUUGUCAUAACGGUUCAACCGAUAAAGAUCUUCGUAGAAUAUGUUGGAACCAAUAUGGGCAUCCAGGUUCCACUAUUGGUUAUUGAGCAGAGAGGUGUCUCGGUCAUGUCUACAUAGUUCUCGAACCCGUAGGGUCCGCACGUUUAACGUUCGAUGACGAUAUAGUAUUAUAUGAGUUAUGUGAUUUGGUGAUCGAAUGUUGUUUGGAGUCCCGGAUGAGAUCACGUACACGACGAGGAGUCUUGUAAUGGUCGAGAGGUAAAGAUUGAUAUAUAGGAUGAUGGUAUUCGGACACCGGAAUGGUUUCGGAGUGCACCGGGUAGUCAUCGGAUCAUCGAAAGGGGUUCCGGGAGGCCCCAGGAGGUCUAUGGGCCUAAUGGGCCAAGGAGAGGCACACAGAAGCCCACAAAGGGGUUGUCCGCCCUCUCCCUGGCCGCCGGCCCUAGAAGAAGGAAAGGGAGGGGCGCCACCUCCUCCUUCCUCUUCCCCCUUGUGGGAGAAAGGAAANNNNNNNNNNNNNNNNNNNNNNNNNNNNNNNNNNNNNNNNNNNNNNNNNNNNNNNNNNNNNNNNNNNNNNNNNNNNNNNNNNNNNNNNNNNNNNNNNNNNNNNNNNNNNNNNNNNNNNNNNNNNNNNNNNNNNNNNNNNNNNNNNNNNNNNNNNNNNNNNNNNNNNNNNNNNNNNNNNNNNNNNNNNNNNNNNNNNNNNNNNNNNNNNNNNNNNNNNNNNNNNNNNNNNNNNNNNNNNNNNNNNNNNNNNNNNNNNNNNNNNNNNNNNNNNNNNNNNNNNNNNGGCAAGCCCAAGUAGGAUUCAGACCUACUUGGGGCACCCCAUGGUGAUGGAAAUAUGCCCUAGAGGCAAUAAUAAAGUUGUUAUUAUUCUAUAUUUCCUUAUUCAUGAUAAAGGUUUAUUAUUCAUGCUAGAAUCGUAUUGAUCGGAAACUUAAAUACAUGUGUGAAUACAUAAACAAAUAUCGUGUCCCUAGUGAGCCUCUACUAGACUAGCUCGUUGAUCAAAGAUGGUUAGGGUUUCCUAACCAUGGACAUGAGUUUUCAUUUGAUAACGGGAUCACAUCAUUAGGAGAAUGAUGUGAUGGACAAGACCCAUCCGUUAGCUUAGCAUUUGAUCGUACAGUUUAUUUCUACUGCUUUCUUGUAUGUCAAGUACAUGUUCCUUAGACCAUGAGAUGAUGCAACUCCCGGAUACCGGAGGAAUACCUUGUGUACUAUCAAACGUCACAACGUAACUGGGUGAUCAUAAAGGUGCUUUACAGGUAUCUCCGAAGGUGUUUGUUGAGUUGGCAUGGAUCGAGAUUGGAAUUUGUCACUCCGAGUAUCGGAGAGGUAUCUCUGGGCUGUCUCGGUAAUACACAUCAUAAGAAGCCUUGCAAGCAAAUGACUAAUGAGUUAUUUACGAGAUGGUGUAUUAUGGAACGAGUAAAGAGACUUGCUGGUAAUGAGAUUGAACUAGGUAUAGAGAUACCGACGAUUGAAUCUCGGGCAAGUAACAUACCGACAGACAAAGGGAAUUGCGUAUGUUGUCAUGACGGUUCGACCGAUAAAGAUCUUCAUAGAAUAUGUAGGAGCCAAUAUGGGCAUCCAGGUUUCGCUAUUGGUUAUUGACCGAAGAGGUGUCUUGGUCAUGUCUACAUAGUUCUCGAACCCGUAGGGUCCGCACGGUUAACGUUGGAUGAUGAUAUAGCUAGUAUUAUAUGAGUUAUGUGAUUUGGUGACUGAAUGUUGUUCGGAGUCCCAGAUGAGAUCACAUACACGACGAGGUGUCUCGAAAUGGUAUAGGGGCUUAUGGGCCAAGUGAGGGAACACACCAGCCCACAAGGGGCUGGUGCGCCCCCCAUAGCAGACAGGCCCUAGGGGAGAAGGAAAGUGGAGACUAGGUCUCCCCUUUCCUUCCCUCUCCUCCUCCUUCCUUUCCCCUUUGGGGAAUUAUGGCAGGAGGGCGCAGGGCAAGGCAGGGGCCCUAGGGCCCGGCGGCCAUGCCCUAGGGCACGCCUGGCUGCCUCCUCUCCCCUCCCACCUGUAUAUACAUGGGGAGGGGUGAUACGUCUCCGUCGUAUCUAUAAUUUUUGAUUGUUCCAUGCCAUUAUUAUACAACUUUCAUAUACUUUUUGGCAACUUUUUAUACUAUUUUUGGGACUAACAUAUUGAUCCAGUGCCCAGUGCCAGUUCCUGUUUGUUGCAUGUUUUAUGUUUCGCAGAAAAUCCAUAUCAAACGGAGUCCAAAUGGGAUAAAAACUGACGGAGAUUUCUUUUGGAAUAUUUAUGAUUUUUGGGAAGAAGAAUCAACGCGAGACGAUGCCCGAGGGGGCCACGAGGCAGGGGGGCCCGCCCCAAGGGGUCAGGCGCGCCCUGGGCCCUCGUGGCCACCCUGUAAGGCGGUUGGUGCCCUUCUUUCGCUGCAAGAAAGCUAAUUUCUGGAUAGAGAUCGUGUCCAAAAUUCAGCCCAAUCGGAGUUACGGAUCUCCGGGAAUUUAAGAAACGGUGAAGGGCCAGAAUCGGGGAACGCAGAAACAGAGAGAGACAGAGAGACAGAUCCAAUCUCGGAGGGGCUCUCGCCCCUCCCAUGCCAUGGAGGCCAAGGAUCAGAGGGGAAACCCUUCUCCCAUCUAGGGAGGAGGUCAAGUAAGAAGAAGAAGAAGGGGCCCCUCUCCCCCUCUCUUUCGGUGGCGCCGGAACGCUGCCGUGGCCAUCAUCAUCACCGCGAUCUUCACCAACACCUCCGCCAUCUUCACCAACAUAUCCAUCACCUUCCCCCCUCUAUCUACAGCGGUCCACUCUCCCGCAACCCACUGUACCCUCUACUUGAACAUGGUGCUUUAUGCUUCAUAUUAUUAUCCAAUGAUGUGUUGCCAUCCUAUGAUGUCUGAGUAGAUUUUCGUUGUCCUAUCAGUGGUUGAUGAAUUGCUAUGAUUGAUUUAAUUUGCUUGUGGUUAUGUUGCUGUCCUUUGGUGCCCAUCAUAUGAGCACGCGCGUGGAUCACACCAUAGGGUUAGUUGUAUGUUGAUAGGACUAUGUAUUGGAGGGCAAGAGUGACAGAAGCUUCAACCUAGCAUAGAAAUUGAUGCAUACGGGAUUGAAGGGGGACCAAUAUAUCUUAAUGCUAUGGUUGGGUUUUACCUUAAUGAACGUUAGUAGUUGUGGAUGCUUGCUAAUAGUUCCAAUCAUAAGUGCAUAGAAUUCCAAGUCAGGGAUGGCAUGCUAGCAGUGGCCUCUCCCACAUAAAACUUGCUAUCGGUCUAGUAAAGUAGUCAAUUGCUUAGGGACAAUUUCGCAACUCCUACCACCACUUUUCCACACUCGCUAUAUUUACUUUAUUGUGUAUUUAUCUAAACAGCCCUAGUUUUUAUUCUCGUGCUCUUUAUUAUCUUGCAAACCUUUCCAAAAACACCUACAAAGUACUUCUAGUUUUAUACUUGUUCUAGGUAAAGCGAACACUAAACGUGCGUAGAGUCGUAUCAGUGGCAGAUAGGACUUGAGAGAAUAUUUGUUCUACCUUUAGCUCCUCGUUGGGUUCGACACUCUCACUUAUCGAAAGAGGCUACAAUUAUCCCCUACACUUGUGGGUUAUCAAGACCUUUUUCUGGCGCCGUUGCUGGGGAGCAAUAGCGCGGGGUGAAUAUUCUCGUGUGUGCUUGUUUGCUUUAUCACUAAGUAAUUUUUAUUUGCUGUUCUUAGUUGUUCUCUAUCAUUAGUUAUGGAUAUGGAACACGAAAUACCAAAAAAAUUAGGUGUACUUGCUGCUCAUGGAGAUGGGGAACCUCCUAAAACCCUCGAUGCUCAAUAUGUGAAAAAUAUUAUGUACCACUUUGAUAAUCCUGAGAAAACCUCAUUCAAUUAUGUAAUGGGAGACACGUUGGACCAACGUGAAUACUUUAGGGAUUAUCGCUUGACUCAAAAAGGGAAAUUAUUAUGGGAUCAAAUUUAUAUGUUGAAGUGGUAUGCUAGGCAACUAUGCUUGAGAUAUGAUUAUACUUGUUGCUCUAGGAUGAAGGCUCCACACCUUCCCUUUUCAUGCAAAUUUAAUGGUAAUGAAACCUUGGCUUCUUAUGCUAGAGGUAUAUAUGAUUACUAUGAUGUGGAACAAAUAGAAGAAUUUGUUGCUUUUAUGGGUUCUUAUGAAAUUGAAUCUAUGUUCAAAGAGUUUGAAAAUCUUUAUGAUGCUGUUUAUAGACCUGAAAAUUUAGCUAUCCUUAAAUAUUGUUAUGCCAAUUAUGAAUUCAGUUCCGAUAUUGAUGCAUUUAUUGAGAAAGUCUCCGCUGUCCAAGAAGAGACUAAUAUUUUGCAGGAGUCUAUGGAAGAAGAAAUUGAUGAAACUGUGAGCUCAUUGGAUGAAAAAGAUGAUGAGGAGAGCGAAGAACAAAAGGAGGAAGAGCGGAUUAGCUACCCGUGCCCACCUUCUAAUGAUAGUAACUCUUCAACUCAUACAUUGUUUAAUUUCCCUUCAUGCUUACCGAAGGAUGAUUGCUAUGAUGAUUGUUAUGAUCCCGUUGAUUCUCUCGAAAUAUCCCUUUUUGAUGAUGCUUGCUAUGCUUGUGGCCAAGAUGCCAAUAUGAAUUAUGCUUAUGGAGAUGAACUUGCUAUAGUUCCUUAUGUUAAAUAUGAAAUCGUUGCUAUUGCACCCACACAUGAUAGUCCUAUUAUCUUUUUGAAUUCUCCCUACUACACUAUAUCGGAGAAGUUUGCCCUUAUUAAGGAUUAUAUUGAUGGGUUGCCUUUUACCGUUGCACAUGAUAAUUUUGAUGAAUGUGAUAUGCAUGUGCUUGCUGCUCCUACUUGCAAUUAUUAUGAGAGAGGAACUAUAUCUCCGCCUCUUUAUGUUUCCAACACGAUAAAAUUGCAAGAAACUGUUUAUACUAUGCAUUGGCCUUUACUAUGUGUGCAUGAAUUGUUCUUUUAUGACAUGCCGAUGCAUAGGAAGAGAGUUAGACUUCGUCAUUACAUAAUAUAUGUUACUUUGUGCUCACUACUAAAUUACAAAUCAUUGUUAAUUAAAAUUGGCUUUGAUAUAGCUUUAAAAUUGGCUUUUUACAAGUCAUUUAUUUCUGUUGAGUGCUUUUAUAAAGUUUAAAAACAAAAAAAAUAAAGAGGGGAAACCCAAAACUUUUCAAAAAAAAAAGCGAAAGUGAGAAAGACGAGCAUUGUUAAAGUGGGAGCUAGCCUUCAACUUUGUUCAUGCUCACGGAAACUUUGUGAAUCUUGAUUACAGAAACUUUUCAAUAAAAAUAAUUAUCCCCUUGUACAAUUCCAUUGUAAUAUAAAAAUAAUGUGCCAAGGUUUGCCUUUAGGAUGUUUACAAUGCUUGUUGGUUUGUGCGGUGCAGGACAGAAACUUUGGCUGUAGUGAUCGAUUUUUAUUUUUUUACUGGAACGUCAAACGGUUCUGACUAUUUUUGCACUGUCUUCCUAUACAAAUUGUUAAUUUUUCCUAAUUUUGGCAGAAUUGUUGAUGUACCAGAAGUAUGGUGGAUGUUCAGAUUAUUACAGACUGUUCUGUUUUAGACAGAUUCUGUUUUGAUGCAUAGUUUGCUUGUUUGGAUGAAACUAUCAAUUUAUAUCAGUGGAUUAAGCCAUGGAAAAGUUAUAUUACAGUAGCUACAAUGCAAAAACAAAAUAUGAAUUGGUUUGGAACAGUACUUAGAGUAGUGAUUUGCUUUAUUAUACUAACGGAUCUUACCGAGUUUUCUGUUGAAGUUUUGUGUGGAUGAAGUGUUCGAUGAUCGAGGAUGUUGAUGUGAGGAGAAGAAGGAGAGGCAAGAGCUCAAGCUUGGGGAUGCCCAAGGCACCCCAAGUAAAUAUUC